rnacentral:rRNA from 1 species
AGUCGAGCGGAAGGCCCUUCGGGGUACUCGAGCGGCGAACGGGUGAGUAACACGUGAGUAACCUGCCCUAGGCUUUGGGAUAACCCCGGGAAACCGGGGCUAAUACCGGAUAUGACUGGCUGCCGCAUGGUGGUUGGUGGAAAGAUUUUUCGGCUUGGGAUGGACUCGCGGCCUAUCAGCUUGUUGGUGGGGUAAUGGCCUACCAAGGCGGCGACGGGUAGCCGGCCUGAGAGGGCGACCGGCCACACUGGGACUGAGACACGGCCCAGACUCCUACGGGAGGCAGCAGUGGGGAAUCUUGCACAAUGGGCGGAAGCCUGAUGCAGCGACGCCGCGUGAGGGAUGACGGCCUUCGGGUUGUAAACCUCUUUCAGCAGGGACGAAGCGUUUGUGACGGUACCUGCAGAAGAAGCGCCGGCCAACUACGUGCCAGCAGCCGCGGUAAGACGUAUGGCGCGAGCGUUGUCCGGAUUUAUUGGGGCGUAAAGAGCUCGUAAGCGGCUUGUCGCCGUCAACUGGGAAAACCCCGGGGGUCAACUGGGGGGCUUGGAGUCGAUAACGGGGAGGCUAAAAUUCGGUAGGGGGAAAACUGGGAAUU